UUGCUUCAAGAGUUCUAGUCACUAGAACUCGACUAGCCUCAUACCGAUCAGAUUUCUUCAAGAAACUGACUCCACCCUCUCAGAACCUCCUCUGAACUUUUGAUCUUCUUUCUUUAGGACCCUCACAAUCCUUGUUAGGAUCAGAUAAGGCUUUGUCUUAAAUCCUAAAGCCUUGUCCUAAAACUAAGAUAGGUUAUAAGAAAGAAAGGAGAGUAAUGGAGACAAAAUUGGAAACUCUUUCUGAAUGCCUCAGACACCCAGUGCUCUGA
rnacentral:lncRNA from 1 species